CAGCAGCCGCGGUAAUACGUAGGUGGCAAGCGUUGUCCGGAAUUAUUGGGCGUAAAGGGCUCGCAGGCGGUUUCUUAAGUCUGAUGUGAAAGCCCCCGGCUCAACCGGGGAGGGUCAUUGGGAACUGGGAGACUUGAGUGCAGAAGAGGAGAGUGGAAUUCCACGUGUAGCGGUGAAAUGCGUAGAGAUGUGGAGGAACACCAGUGGCGAAGGCGACUCUCUGGUCUGUAACUGACGCUGAGGAGCGAAAGCGUGGGGAGCGAACAGGAUUAGAUACCCCUGUAGUCCCUGUCUCUUAUAC
rnacentral:rRNA from 1 species